GAUGAACGCUGGCGGCGUGCCUAAUACAUGCAAGUCGAACGCUGAAGGAGGAGCUUGCUCUUCUGGAUGAGUUGCGAACGGGUGAGUAACGCGUAGGUAACCUGCCUUGUAGCGGGGGAUAACUAUUGGAAACGAUAGCUAAUACCGCAUGACAACAGUUAUUGCAUGAUAACUGUUUAAAAGGGGCAACUGCUCCACUACCAGAUGGACCUGCGUUGGAUUAGCUAGUUGGUGAGGUAACGGCUCACCAAGGCGACGAUACAUAGCCGACCGGAGAGGGGGAGCGGCCACCCUGGGACUGAGACCCGGCCCAGACUCCUACGGGAGGCAGCAGUAGGGAAUCUUCGGCCAUGGGCGGAAGUCUGACCGAGAAACGCCGAGUGAGUGAAGAAGGUUGUCGGAUCGUAAAGCUCUGUUGUAAGAGAAGAACGAGUGUGAGAGUGGAAAGUUCACACUGUGACGGUAUCUUACCAGAAAGGGACGGCUAACUACGUG
rnacentral:rRNA from 1 species